rnacentral:lncRNA from 1 species
GUGGAUUCAAGUACCGGCUUCCUGGGACCUAGUGAGUUGAUUGUUUGUGGUGCAUGGACUAAUUAGAAAGACCUCGCAGAGGAAUAGAACUGGAGGGAACCACAAAGGUUAGCUUUGUAUUCUCAUUCGAACACUGGCCCGAUUCUCGCCAGCCCCACCUGGUAAAUGCCUACUGCUAAUUCCUUUGAGUGGCGCCUCUCGAGUGCUGUUAGAUAGCUAAUGUCUGCAAGGAUCUUCACCUGUGUAUUCGGGGGAAUCUGUGCUGUUCACCUUGGGACGUCAUUUUCGUCGCCUUUUAGAGAUGACGGCCAAAUUCGCUGAAUAAGAACCAUAAUUAAGAAAGGCCUGAGCGCGGUUGCUCACGCCUGUAAUCCCUGCAGCUUGGAAGGCUAAGGGAGAAGGACCGAGAGUUCAAAGCCACCCUCAGCAAUUUAGCGAGGCCUUAAGCAACUCAGCGAGACCCAUCACUAAAUAUUAAAAAGGGCUGGGGGUGUGGCUCAGUGGUUAAGCGCCCAAUCCCUGGUACCAAAACAAACAAACAAAAAAAUCGGUCUGGUCAUUCAUACCUAACAUCCCCUUUGGGAUUCAUGGUAUCAGGUGCUAGCAUUCACCAGCAGACAACACCCAGGCCUGGUCCUCUAGAGACAAGUGUCAGUUGUUUGAAAGAAACACAGAGACAUCUCAUCUAGCCUUGGAACCAGUAAAAGGGGCGCCAAAACCACUUAGCUCUCCAUUUGAAACCAACAGGGGCUUCUGCAUAAUUUGAACACUGUACUACUUAAAGCACUUAAGAGAAAGUGGCCCAUUGAAUGGUCACUGACAGUGGUGUAAGCUUUUUCUGAAGAACUAUUUGGGAGAUUGGGGCAGGGUCUCAGCAGUAGCGCACUGGUAUGUGUGAAGCACUGAGUUCGAUUCUCAGCACCACAUAUAAGAUAUAUAUAUAGAGAGAGAGAAUUGGGAGAUUGAUUCUCUUGGUAGUUUAAAAUAUAUGUUAGAGGGCUGGAGUGUAGCUAAAUGAUAGAGUAUUUGCCUAGGAUGCUCCAGGCCCUGGGUUUAAUUCCUAG